rfam:Euryarchaeota archaeon TMED117 MHASMcontig_292277, whole genome shotgun sequence.
GGGAGUGAGAGGAUUGCUGACAGAGUUCGACUCUGAGGAAAGUCCCCUCUCCGUAGUGCAAGUGGUUCACAGAAGUGAAAGAUCAGAAAUGGUCAGGUCAAUGCCACAGAAACGAUACGAUACCAGGUGUGUACAAUGAUGUUGAAAGACGGAGGUUGCCUGAGUGUUGAUGGAACGAGCAACCCCACUGGAGCAAGUCCAAAUCGUCCCGCUCAUGCUGCACGCACAGGGACAGGUAGGAUGCUAAGUUGAAUGCAAUCGCCGUAAGGUAACAAAAAGGGGCUUACUCCUCACUCCC